GGCUGAUCGAACUACGAUUCAUUCCAGGAAGAGGAGCGGUUUGAGAGAGAUACUUGUUUACAACAGAGAACAUUUCUCAACCAGCAGUAUCGUCACAAUUAACCACGGUGUGGGUUGAAUAUUUGACCCAUUCAGCUGGGUUAAACAGGUAACCCUGUGUGUUUACAUGCUCCUAAUUUAAUCCAGCAGUGUUUAACAAAAUAUCAGAGUUUAUCCAUUCAGCUUCAGCAGUAAAACAAAGACCAAGAGGAACAAGGAUUUCAGAUUAUGUAAAUAACUAAAAAAAGAUAGUAGCAAUAAAAAAAGCUAAGAUCAAAUAAAAACACAGAACAGCAAUAAAAUACAGGAGGGGGGGAUGUGAAGGUUGUUUAUAAUAUGUUUUGAUUUGUAGUUUUUACCUGCAGUUAAAGAUCGUUUUGUAUUAAAUGGCACCUUAAAUCAGAUUUCCCUGAGCUGCAUUUACAAGAGCUCACCAGCAGGUGUCAGUGUGGCCACAAUGUGAAACAAAACUGCUCUCAUUGUUCUCUGAGGGAUAAGUUCUGAUUUCUGAUUUUACAUGAAAAAAAAAAAAGGAAAUACAAGUUGCACCUGAAAAAGGCUGCAGGAAAAAAUAUGCAUUUGUCCUAAAGGAAGUGAUUGAUCUUAAGUUUAAAUCAUGAGCAAGUUCUCAUCUUCACUUCAUUUAUAUAAAGUAGCCUCCAUAAGAAGACACACGUUCAAAGAAAAAUAACUUGAAUGACCAGACUCUUCUGUUUCUUGUCUCUCCAGAGAAGGUUUUUAGAAAUGUAAUAAGUACCUUCAUGUCGACUCAGUAUUCUCCCAGGUGAGUGCACACCUUCCUCCGGUUCUCUGCAGGAAGUCCAGACUCAGACUACAUUUGUUCACCAGAGUCUGAAACUCUACAGGUGACAUCAGCACCAUGAAGUUAGAUCGAAAGUCGAUGUUGUUGCUCUCAGCCAGCGCAGCUCCAAGUCCUGAUGUGCUCCUUCCCAUGGGAAACAUCUGCAGACCCUAAAAAAGCUUCACAAGUCAACACCCAGCACACAUGACGGAGCUGCUGUGGAGCUCAGAAGAUGAAAGAAAUGCUCAGAGACUGAAGUACACAUUCUUAUUGGAGGAAUCCUAAGGUCUAAAGGAUGAGCAUAGUGCAGGGCAUUUUCCUUAUUUAGAAAAUGUCAACUUCUAUGAUUUCAAUAGGCCUUUAUUGGUCAUAAUGGGAAGAUGAUUCCCAUAAUAUGUUACAUAAAAUACAUUAUUUAGUGAGCUGUUAAAGGAGCAUGCAGCUUUGUGAUGACUUGUUAUGAAUUGUUGAACCACUGGGGUUGGAUCUCUGGUGUCUUAUAAACCCAUGAGUUGUCUUCAAAGAUUUUAAAAGCAGCCUAAAGGACCAUUUGACGACUGUAUCACAUGUUUCUCUGUUUAAAGCUCCUGAUUGGUUCAAUGAUGUAAUAUUUGUUUAUCGUCUGUCUUUUGUUCUCUGUCUGAAACUCUUGUAUGCUGCUGUCUUGGCCAGGACUCUCUGGUGUUGUAUCUCAAAGAGAAUCUCCUCCUGGUAAAAUAAAUGUCAAAUGAAAUGAAAUAAAUAAAAAUGAGGAUUGGG